GUGCUCACUCAGCAGCACAUAUACUAAAAUUGGAACAAUACAGAGAUUAGCAUGGCCCCUGUGCAAGGAUGACAUGCAAAUUUGUGAAGCAUUCCAUAUUUAA
rnacentral:snRNA from 1 species